GUUUGGGUCUCUAUGCCAUAUAACCAGGUGGGAACCUCAGAUUCCAAAGAUCCCAAUGAUCAAACAAGCUCUAGCAAGGACGGUGAUAACUCAUGGUGGAGGGGCUCUUCUUUGGAGAAGGGGAAGGUGAAGGUGAAAAGGAAGAUGAGGGAGCCAAGGUUCUGCUUCCAAACAAGAAGCGAUGUGGAUGUCCUAGACGAUGGGUACAAGUGGAGGAAAUAUGGGCAAAAAGUGGUGAAGAACAGCCUCCAUCCCAGAAGCUACUACCGCUGCACCCACAACAACUGCAGAGUGAAGAAAAGAGUCGAGCGACUGUCGGAGGACUGUCGAAUGGUCAUCACCACGUACGAGGGUAGACACACCCAUUCUCCCUGCGACGAUGAGAACUCUUCCGAACAUGAAUGUUUCAGUUCAUUUUAGGAAGUCGACCCACGUAGAAUGCGUUGUUACUACGUGAGUUCUCUUCGGAAGUAUCUGAAGGACCAUCAUGAAUAAUGGAUGUUGCUCAAGCUUUGUGUCUCUGAGAGGAUCGAGUCUUG